GAUGAAGAACGUAGCGAAAUGCGAUAAGUAGUGUGAAUUGCAGAAUUCAGUGAAUCAUCGAAUCUUUGAACGCACAUUGCGCCCGCCAGCAUUCUGGCGGGCAUGCCUGUUCGAGCGUCAUUUCAACCCUCGAGCCCCCCCGGGGGCCUCGGUGUUGGGGGACGGCACACCAGCCGCCCCCGAAAUGCAGUGGCGACCCCGCCGCAGCCUCCCCUGCGUAGUAGCACACACCUCGCACCGGAGCGCGGAGGCGGUCACGCCGUAAAACGCCCAACUUUCUUAGAGUUGACCUCGGAUCAGGUAGGAAUACCCGCUGAACUUAAGCAUAUCAAUAAGCGGAGGA
rnacentral:misc_RNA from 1 species